GUGGUUACUCUCAGCAGCUCACCAGACUGCGCCCCGAUGGUGUCAAUCCUCCUCUGCGCUUCCACAGACCGGUCUGAGAUGUUACGAAACAGUUCACCGUACUGAUCAGCCCUUUGAUGUAAAACCUUCAGCUUGAGUUUAUGAUGAGAUGGGAACUAAUGUGGAUGCAGACGUCUCUGAAGAAGUAGCACAGCAACCCAACGCUGGUGUGUUUACUAUCAGAUCUGACAAAGAGUCCAAGGGGACAACCUCUUCCAGCUCUUCCCAGUCCACCAGGCCACUGCUUGAUGUCAUAACCAAGUCAGCACAUUGGUUGAAUCUGCACUGACCAAGAAGAUCAAAGAAUCUGGGUGAAAGGAUGGAUCAGCACACGCAGGUAGCAGGGAUUGUCUGAGCUGCAGAGAGAGCUGGAGUCCGGUGUCAAGAUCCCACUUUGUCCAGCUCCGAAGCAUCUUGCAAGGUGAUGGACCGGCAACAGACUCUGCCCCAGAGAACCACGUGGAUAUUGAAAGAGUAUUCGAAAGAAAUCACUUCAUCAACGAAGAUGAAUUCUUUCAUCCAGGAUUCGACUAUGAUUUCACCAAUUUGAAAGACACCGAGACUUAUUACAGAGGAGGAGAGGUGUAUCAACGCCCAUGUGGAUGGCAGCGUUUUGCCCUCAAGGUAAAUAUGCUUUUGUUUUACUUGACAUUUAAUCCCAGAGUUUCCGUCCAGUUUUUUUGUGAAACACGACUGCAAAUUUUGUUGAAUGUAGAAAACGUAAAAAAAGUAAAAAUAAAUAAAAAAUAAAAAACGAGACAUUGGCGCAGUAAAGGCUUCUUUCUGGCAACUCGACCGUGCAGCUCAUUUUCGUUUCAAGUACCGUCGCAUUGUGGUCCUUGCAACAACCACACCAU